UACGGGGGGAGCAAGCGUUGUUCGGAUUUACUGGGCGUAAAGGGCGCGUAGGCGGCCUGCCAAGUCAGGAGUGAAAUCUUUCGGCUCAACCGGAAAAGUGCUUUUGAUACUGGCGGGCUAGAGGGAGAUAGGGGCAUGUGGAACUUCCGGUGGAGCGGUGAAAUGCGUUGAUAUCGGAAGGAACGCCGGUGGCGAAAGCGACGUGCUGGACCUCUUCUGACGCUGAGGCGCGAAAGCCAGGGGAGCGAACGGG
rnacentral:rRNA from 1 species